UUAUAUAGUAAUGCUAUUUGAAUAAUAUGAUAUACACAGCCUGUCACUUUAGCAUCUCAUUCUUCAUGCACCCACCAACCCUACUCCUUAUAAGUACAAUCAGAUCAUUAGGAUGAUCCAACUCAUCCAUCUUCUUCUACAGUGUGCAAGAAUAAAGCGGUGCAUACAAUUGCUUUAUCAUCCUACGCACCUAGAAAAGCACUUCUGCUUCUAGACAAGGAUACGUCAUCUUCCACCACCCCGCAAUGUCGUCACCCUCGAAGAACAAAUCAAAAUCAUCAAUAUGCCCUGUGUGCAAAAGAGAUCUGUGCCAUGAAAAGGCACUUAACGGCCACAUAAGGUGGCAUACACAGCAGGAACGUGAAGCAGCAGGCAUAGGAAAUGCUAAAGCUGUUGCUUCUGCUAGCGUUGUCAUUCGGGAUGCGAAUGUGCGAAGGCCGGAAACAUCUAAACCUGUUAAGCUCCCUGAUCUUAACAAAUCUCCCCCAAGGGAGGAGGACAAGGAUGCUGCUUGAUUUUCUUGUGUGCUUGACCAUUUUCAGUCUUUAGACAAAGCUUUGACUUUCUGUCCAUAUUUUUUUUUUUUUUUUUGAAAAGUUGCCCAUAAAAUUAUUUAUGUUGUAGUGCCGCUGAUGAAUUGUCUUCUUAUAUGUCAAAUUAAAAUUUGUUUUCU